AUGCUCACCAUGAGGCUUAUUUUUAGCAAUUUGCUUCUGUGUCUUGCUCUCGGACCCUGUUUCAAGUCCACUGAUGCACAAGAGACAACAAUAGAGACAGAUGCAAACAUCGCCAUCACAUUACCAAACAAUGACACUGUGGAGUCAAAGUUAAGUUCUGAAAUCACCAUCACCACACCUGAAAAUACAAUUACUCUACUACAGGCAGGAACGGAUCUGCAUAAUCCAGAAACCACACUUGUUAAUCAAGUCAGCACCAUGCUUGAGGAACCAGCAUUUGAGAGUACUCCACCACUCAGUACUGAGAUCGAACAAACAUCACCAGAAUCUGUUCCUGAAACAACAACAGUACAAACAGAGCAGACCACAGUGACUACCCCUACUGUGCCUGUUAAUGUGGAAACAAUAGUGACUGAACAAAUAACUUCAGACGCCCCAAGCACAAGUCAAUAUGAAACAACUGUUGGCCACACAGCAGCUGUGGCCAUGACCACUGAUUCAACAGAAGCCCUCGAUCCCACAUCCUUCCUGACUGAAUCCCCAGCAGACUGGUCUGAGUCUCCGUCCAUCAUCUCCAACCCUGUGGACACCAGCACUGAAACCUCCACUACAAGUCUAACAUCAACUUCUCAGCUCCCUCAAAAUACUGCUGCACCCGUGCACCCGUACUCGAAGUUUGAUGAAGAAUCAGUCUCCACCCAUUUCACCCUCACCACCACCAGCGUAAUUAUCGAGGAAAGCAGUCUGCCCAUACAAACCAGCUGGUUAUUAAUAAUGAUAGUGUGUGUGGCCAUUAUUUUUGCGCUAUGUGUGGGCAUGAUUCUGUUCGUCCAGUGGCGAAAGAAAAACGGCUCAAGGAAUUUCGGCCCCAUGUAUGUAAACGGACAAAGUAAACGGUCCAAGAAGAAAAAAGGGGGGGAGGAUGAUGCAUGGGCGGGGCCUGUCAAUCUGGAGGCGGGAGCUGAAUGUGAUGCUGAAGUACAGGAUGGUCUUCUGCCUAAUAAUGGGAAACCGGAUGGAGAUGACAUGAUGCUCAGCACAUUCGCCGCUCUGGAUGCAGGAGACAUGUCUAAUGGUGGAGUGGGUGGGGACGGUACCAAGGAGGUUAAGAAAUGGGAGGAGCAGGAGCCUUUGAUUUACAUAGAUGAGGAUGUGACUGAAGACAAGACAGGAAAAACACUGGCAGAGAACGAGAAACAGAAAGGAGAUGAAAAAAGUGAAGAGAAGGGGACGAAUGGAGGAGAAACGUUCUGUCUCACCACAGCUGUUUAA
rnacentral:lncRNA from 1 species